CCUACGGGUGACAGCAGUGAGGAAUAUUGGUCAAUGGACGCAAGUCUGAACCAGCCAUGCCGCGUGCAGGAAGACGGCCCUAUGAGUUUUAAACUGCUUUUGUACGAGGGUAAAUCCCGAUACGUGUAUCUGGGUGAAAGUAUCUUACGCAUAAGGAUCGGCGAACCCCGUGCCAGCAGCCGCGGUAAGACGGAGGAUUCAAGCGUUAUCCGGAUUUAUUGGGUUUAAAGGGUGCGUAGGCGGUUCGAUAAGUUAGAGGUGAAAUCCCGGGGCUCAACUCCGGCACUGCCUCUGAUACUGGCAGGCUAGAGUUUAGUUGCGGUAGGCGGAAUGUAUGGUGUAGCGGUGAAAUGCAUAGAGAUCAUACAGAACACCGAUUGCGAAGGCAGCUUACCAAACUACGACUGACGUUGAGGCGCGAAAGCGUGGGGAGCAAACAGGAUUAGAUACCCGUGUAGUC
rnacentral:rRNA from 1 species